CGGAGGAUCCAAGCGUUAUCCGGAAUCAUUGGGUUUAAAGGGUCCGUAGGCGGUUUAGUAAGUCAGUGGUGAAAGCCCAUCGCUCAACGGUGGAACGGCCAUUGAUACUGCUAGACUUGAAUUAUUAGGAAGUAACUAGAAUAUGUAGUGUAGCGGUGAAAUGCUUAGAGAUUACAUGGAAUACCAAUUGCGAAGGCAGGUUACUACUAAUGGAUUGACGCUGAUGGACGAAAGCGUGGGUAGCGAACAGGAUUAGAUACCCUGGUAGUCCACGCCGUAAACGAUGGAUACUAGCUGUUGGGAGCAAUUUCAGUGGCUAAGCGAAAGUGAUAAGUAUCCCACCUGGGGAGUACGGGCGCAAGCCU
rnacentral:rRNA from 1 species